GAGUUUGAUCAUGGCUCAGAUUGAACGCUGGCGGCAGGCCUAACACAUGCAAGUCGAGCGGAUGACGGGAGCUUGCUCCUUGAUUCAGCGGCGGACGGGUGAGUAAUGCCUGGGAAUCUGCCUGGUAGUGGGGGACAACGUUUCGAAAGGAACGCUAAUACCGCAUACGUCCUACGGGAGAAAGCAGGGGACCUUCGGGCCUUGCGCUAUCAGAUGAGCCUAGGUCGGAUUAGCUAGUUGGUGGGGUAAUGGCUCACCAAGGCGACGAUCCGUAACUGGUCUGAGAGGAUGAUCAGUCACACUGGGACUGAGACACGGUCCAGACUCCUACGGAGGCAGCAGUGGGGAAUAUUGGACAAUGGGCGAAAGCCUGAUCCAGCCAUGCCGCGUGUGU
rnacentral:rRNA from 1 species